CCGUGCUAGACGGGGAGCUCGCGGUGCCCUGUAACCCGUAAUCCGCGAUAACGGGGUCGAUGCCUGUCCGAGGUCCUUUCCGUGUGGGGUCCGGACCGUUUCAGGAGGCGUCGACGAUCGGGUCCUGCGCAACAGGAACUUCCGAACCGUGUCAGGUCCUGACGGAAGCAGCACUAAGGAAGCCCUCCUGUGUGCCGCAGGGGUGCCUGGUCUGAGCCGAAUGGACGGUGCCCGCCUGGGCGGGGAGGAUCGACGGCAGGUGCACGG
rnacentral:SRP_RNA from 2 species